UACGUAGGGUGCAAGCGUUGUCCGGAAUUAUUGGGCGUAAAGAGCUCGUAGGCGGUUUGUCACGUCUGCUGUGAAAACUCGGGGCUUAACUCCGGGCCUGCAGUGGGUACGGGCAGACUAGAGUGCGGUAGGGGAGACUGGAAUUCCUGGUGUAGCGGUGAAAUGCGCAGAUAUCAGGAGGAACACCGGUGGCGAAGGCGGGUCUCUGGGCCGAUACUGACGCUGAGGAGCGAAAGCCAGGGGAGCAAACGGG
rnacentral:rRNA from 1 species